CCGACGGGAGGCAGCAGUGGGGAAUUUUCCGCAAUGGGCGAAAGCCUGACGGAGCAAUACCGCGUGAGGGAAGACUGCCUAUGGGUUGUAAACCUCUUUUUUCAGGGAGGAAUAAAAUGACGUGUACCUGAAGAAUAAGCAUCGGCUAACUCCGUGCCCGCAGCCACGGUAAU
rnacentral:rRNA from 2 species